AUUGAACGCUGGCGGUAUGCUUAACACAUGCAAGUCGAACGAUGAGAAAGAGCUUGCUCUUUCGAUUAGUGGCGGACGGGUGCGUAACGCGUAGGAAUCUACCUAUUAGUGGGGGACAACUUAGGGAAACUUAAGCUAAUACCGCAUACGCCCCACGGGGGAAAGAAGGGGAUCGCAAGACCUUUUGAUAAUAGAUGAGCCUGCGUAGGAUUAGCGAGUUGGUGGGGUAAAAGCUCACCAAGGCGACGAUCCUUAACUGGUUUGAGAGAAUGAUCAGUCACACUGGAACUGAGACACGGUCCAGACUCCUACGGGAGGCAGCAGUGGGGAAUAUUGGACAAUGGGCGAAAGCCUGAUCCAGCAAUACCGCGUGUGUGAAGAAGGCCUUAGGGUUAUAAAGCACUUUCAAUUGGAAGGAAAACCUCGAAGCUAAUACCUUCGAGUUUGACAUUACCUUUAGAAGAAGCACCGGCUAACUCCGUGCCAGCCGCCGCGGUAA
rnacentral:rRNA from 1 species